ensembl:lncRNA
CUUUGUUAGUUAUCAUCAUGAUUUCAGGGUUCUUGAAUAUAAUCUUGUACAUACCUGGCUUUUGCAUGUAACAUUUUAAAAACUCACCUUUCAGAUCAAAGAAAAGGACAGCCUUCUGAUCUCAGCAACCUCAAGUGCUGGGUCCUGCGAUUCAAGGAGUGUUAAUUCCUGGCUCUCUGACAAUUCCAUCAACUUGGCAAUUACUCAAAAUAUCUUCAGUCAUGAACUCAUUCCUGAUACACAGGCAGUCACAUCACAGAAUGUUUAAAGUACCCAGAUGCCCCCAGCAUUCCAAAUAUCUGUUCUGGAAUGUCUCUCAGAGACUCCAUCUUAUAAUUGCUCUAGCCCUUUUACUGGAGCAGACCUGUCAACAAAUAUGGACUUGAUUCACUGGCCAAAUUUCAUGCUGCUUAUGUCACUCACAUAAUCAACUGGGUCCCUCUCUCUUGGAAAUCCUCUGUCUCUAAGAAAAUGCACAUAUUUCCUCAACUACUCUUUCUGUAUCUCCUAGAAAAUGACAUGGUUUUCCUCGACUCAGUGUGACUCUGCUGGUCUCUGCUUCCUCAGAGAAGAAGGCCAGGGAGCUGGAAACUAAAGAGUGAAUAAUUUUGGUUCAAGUUUACCUCUUUCUCUGAGCGAUGACAGAGCAACUGGGAUGGUAGCAAAUGAUGAAAUGAAUGAGCAAUCACUGGCAUUUGAAGGGGACUCUUUCCUUGUCAGAUGUGCAGGCGGUUUCUCAGAUUCUCAACCUGAUCCAAACUCCCGUGGUUUGAUUUUCUUCAAGGGUUGUCAUUCUCCUCCCACUCUAACCCCAUCAUCGGAUUCUGGGUUUCACUUGAGACAUCAGAGCACGGCAAUGUGGUGAAUAUGAAAAUAAGGUAUGGGGAGAAAUAGUUGUGAGAGCAGUAGCAUCAGGAUGGACACCGGAGAGCAGGUCAGAGGACAGUGCAAUGGGCACCAGGGUAGUGGACACAGUUGGUUACACCCCAUAUCUCCUUCAUCCUUCUAACCCUGUGCUUCCUUCAGUUUAAGUGAAUUAAAAUUAAAUGAAAUGGAAAAUGUAAUUCCCCAGCUGUACAUUUCAACUACUCAAUACACAUAUUGGCUCGUGGCUACCAGAUUGGGUGGUGUGGAUAUUGGAUGGGUGAUAGUAAUCCCAUUCUUUUUUGCCAGAGACUAGUUAAGGAACUCAGGGUAAGGUAACCAAUGCAUGCUACCCACCCCCCACCACCACCCCUCUGUGUAUAUCUGAUUAUCCUAGGGGGGUUAGGAACCUAUGCUUGCCCAAAUGUACUAAAGAAAAAGACUUUUACUUCUGAUUGAGGUAACAAUUUUCCUCCCUCUGGAUGGAUAGGAAUAGGAAAGAAUUUCGUCCCUGUCCCUGCUGGCAACCAACUCGUGACCAGGAAGAAAGCUAGCCUAAGGACAAUGCUGACAUGUAAAAGAGGGCAAGCAAGAGCGAGACAGGAGUGAAGUCAGAUCCCUGAUAGCACCAGGCCAGGAGCCAGUGGUACUUCUGGAUCUCUCCUUCAAUGAGACAAUAAUACUUUUGUUGUUUAAGUCCAUUUUAAGCCAGCUCUUUCUUACUUGCAACUCAAAGCCCUUGAACUAUUUCAUCUAGAUCCUUGUCCUGUCUCUGUCACAAAAUCAUUACAGGACCUUGAGUGAGUCCUGCAACCUCUCUG